CUUGUUGAAAAGCACAGGUUUCUGGCUCUCAGCAGAAUUUCUAAUUAGUAAGUCUGAGGUGGAGCCCAGGAAUCUGCUUUUUGUGUGCCUUCCC
rnacentral:pre_miRNA from 1 species